rnacentral:rRNA from 1 species
AAUGAACGUUGGCGGCGUGGAUUAGGCAUGCAAGUCGUGCGGAAAGGCUCCUUCGGGAGUACUCGAGCGGCGAAAGGGAGAGUAACGCGUGGUUAUCUACCCCCUGGACUGGGAUAGCGGCGGGAAACUGCCGGUAAUACCAGAUAAUGUCUGCGGACCAAAGGUGUGAUUCCGCCGGGGGAUGAGUCCGCGUCCUAUUAGCGAGUUGGUGGGGUAAUGGCUCACCAAGGCUGAGAUGGGUACCGGGUGUGAGAGCAUGGCCCGGCUCACUGGGACUGAGACACUGCCCAGACACCUACGGGUGGCUGCAGUCGAGAAUCUUCGGCAAUGGGCGCAAGCCUGACCGAGCGACGCCGCGUGCGGGAUGAAGGCCUUCGGGUUGUAAACCGCUGUCAGAGGGGAGGAAAUGCGUGAGGGUUCUCUCUCACGUUUGACCUAUCCUCAGAGGAAGUACGGGCUAAGUUCGUGCCAGCCGCCGCCGUAACAC